AUUGAACGCUGGCUGCAGGCCUAACACAUGCAAGUCGAGCGGAUGAAGGGAGCUUGCUCCUGGAUUCAGCGGCGGACGGGUGAGUAAUGCCUAGGAAUCUGCCUGGUAGUGGGGGAUAACGUCCGGAAACGGGCGCUAAUACCGCAUACGUCCUGAGGGAGAAAGUGGGGGAUCUUCGGACCUCACGCUAUCAGAUGAGCCUAGGUCGGAUUAGCUAGUUGGUGGGGUAAAGGCCUACCACGGCGACGAUCCGUAACUGGUCUGAGAGGAUGAUCAGUCACACUGGAACUGAGACACGGUCCAGACUCCUACGGGAGGCAGCAGUGGGGAAUAUUGGACAAUGGGCGAAAGCCUGAUCCAGCCAUGCCGCGUGUGUGAAGAAGGUCUUCGGAUUGUAAAGCACUUUAAGUUGGGAGGAAGGGCAGUAAGUUAAUACCUUGCUGUUUUGACGUUACCAACAGAAUAAGCACCGGCUAACUUCGUG
rnacentral:rRNA from 1 species